AUGGCACGCAGGGAAGAAGUGUUUCAAUCAAAAGUCUUCCAAAAGCUGUACCCUGCCCCUCCCAAACGGGAGAAGGAACUGAGCCCACCAGGCACAGUAGAUGCUCUUUCCAGAAAACCCCACGUGAAAGGAAAAGCCUCUCAACGGGAGACGGCCACUGGAGAUGCAGGAAGGAAGCCGAUCGCUGCCAAUCCAGGCAGGCGGAUGUACACAGUCCUGCCUCCCCCCGCUGACCACAAGACAGAUUCAGAGAAAUCCGUCACACUCCCCCAGUUAGAAAGCGUAAAUAGUGCAGACGACCCAGCUGACAGGAUAACAGACCGUGAUAGCGAUGAGGAACCAGUCCAAGAUAAAGAGGAGGAAGAAGAACCGAAAAGAAGAAGGAAGAGAAGGAAAAGGAAACCGGACCGACACCAGGACUCCGGCAAGGACGGAGCAGCCGGCGUGAGUGAGUCCGGCCCGGGUCGGAGUCGGGCCCCCGAGGACGAGGGCGGGGAGAACAUGAGCAGGAACAAGAAGAGGAAGCUGAAGAAGAAACGGCACAAAGAGAAGCUGCUCGCCAUGGGUCUGAUGCCGCGGGCCGCUGCACUGGAGUUCACCUACCGGAAGGCUGAGGAGGAGGAGGAGGAAGAUAACGAGACGAGAGCCGCUGAGGUGUCAGACUUCCUGAGGACAACAAUGGAAACCUAUAUGUCAGAUCCCUCUUUGCGCUCGGACCAGCGCCCCCUCCUGUGCGGGACCGUGAACAACCUUUUGAGCCGCGUGGCCGGCGGAUGCUGCCCCCUCUCCGCCCUCCAGCAGCUCUACGCCCUCAAGGCCCUGGUUCAGCGGCGACAGCCGCACAACCUGGAAAAGGCCCUGGUGGAGCUCCUCGGCACCUCUCCUCUGCCCUCAGGAGAAACGGCCGCGGUGGUUUCCCUGUUCCGAUACUGGAUCGCACACGUUCUCCCCAUGCAGGGAGACGAGGAGGCUUCCUCGGAAGCGCCCGCCAGCUGGGGGACCCUCGCGGACCGCUCCAGAGAUGUUCUUCAGAGUGCCGAGACUGACUCCGGGAUACAUCCGGCUGCUGCAGACGCAGGCCUACCACCAUGUGUCUGUGACCCCCCCAGCUGA
ensembl:lncRNA